UGAGGACGUGCUGCCUUUAACAUGUUUCUUGGUCUGAUUUAAUCAUGAAAUGCAGGCAGAUCCCAGUCUCUCCUCCUCCAGUGGUUCAAAUAGGAGUAUUGUUGUUGCUGAUAAAAUGGUUAUCCUGUUUUGAUCAGAGUUAUCAAACCUUCCUGCUGCUUCUGGUCAUCUCAGUGUACCAGUUACUGGGUAUCAGGAGCUUCAGGACUACACCAUAUGUUCCUCAAACGGAUGAGCUAACAGAGCGCUUUAACCAGACCCU